rnacentral:rRNA from 1 species
AUUGAACGCUGGCGGCAUGCCUUACACAUGCAAGUCGAACGGUAACAGGUUAAGCUGACGAGUGGCGAACGGGAGAGUAAUGUAUCGGAACGUGCCCAGUCGUGGGGGAUAACUGCUCGAAAGAGCAGCUAAUACCGCAUACGACCUGAGGGUGAAAGCGGGGGAUCGCAAGACCUCGCGCGAUUGGAGCGGCCGAUAUCAGAUUAGGUAGUUGGGGAGGUAAAGGCUCACCAAGCCGACGAGCUGUAGCUGGUCUGAGAGGACGACCAGCCACACUGGGACUGAGGCACGGCCCAGACUCCUGCGGGGGGCAGCAGUCGGGAAUUUUGGACAAUGGGCGCGAGCCUGAUCCAGCCAUGCCGCGUGCGGGAAGAAGCCCUUCGGGUUGUAAACCGCUUUUGUCAGGGAAGAAAAGGUUCUGGCUAAUACCUGGGACUCAUGACGGUACCUGAAGAAUAAGCACCGGCUAACUACGUG